rnacentral:rRNA from 1 species
GAUGAACGCUGGCUACAGGCUUAACACAUGCAAGUCGAGGGGUAACGAGAGGAAAGCUUGCUUUCCUUGUCGACGACCGGCGCACGGGUGAGUAACGCGUAUCCAACCUGCCCCCAACUAAGGAAUAACCUUGCGAAAGUAAGACUAAUACCUUAUAAUUUCCUCAGAUGUCAUCUGACGAGGAAUAAAGAUUUAUCGGUUGUGGAUGGGGAUGCGUCUGAUUAGCUUGUUGGCGGGGUAACGGCCCACCAAGGCAACGAUCAGUAGGGGUUCUGAGAGGAAGGUCCCCCACAUUGGAACUGAGGCACGGUCCAAACUCCUACGGGAGGCAGCAGUGAGGAAUAUUGGUCAAUGGGCGAAAGCCUGAACCAGCCAAGUAGCGUGCAGGAUGACGGCCCUAUGGGUUGUAAACUGCUUUUAUACAGGAAUAAAGUUAGCCACGUGUGGUUAUUUGUAGGUACUGUAUGAAUAAGGACCGGCUAAUUCCGUGCCAGCCGCCGCAGUAA